rnacentral:rRNA from 1 species
AGAGUUUGAUCCUGGCUCAGAACGAACGCUGGCGGCAGGCCUAACACAUGCAAGUCGAACGAAGUCUUCGGACUUAGUGGCGCACGGGUGAGUAACACGUGGGAAUAUACCUUUCGCUGGGGGAUAACAUCGGGAAACUGAUGCUAAUACCGCAUACGCCCUACGGGGGAAAGAUUUAUCGGCGAGAGAUUAGCCCGCGUCCGAUUAGGUAGUUGGUGAGGUAAAGGCUCACCAAGCCUUCGAUCGGUAGCUGGUCUGAGAGGAUGAUCAGCCACACUGGGACUGAGACACGGCCCAGACUCCUACGGGAGGCAGCAGUGGGGAAUAUUGGACAAUG